GAGAAAGUACUGCACGAACUGCUAACUCUGCAUCCCCUACAUAAAAGUAUGGCUUUCUCA
rnacentral:tRNA from 1 species